rnacentral:rRNA from 1 species
GCUCAACCUUAAAAUGGAUAUUCCCGCCAGAGCAUUACGAGCUACAGCUUAAAACUCAAAGGACUUGGCGGUGCUCUAUACCCACCUAGAGGAGCCUGUUCUAUAAUCGACACUCCCCGAUAAACCUCACCAUUUCUCGCUACUACAGCCUAUAUACCACCGCCCUCAGUUCAUCUUUCAAAAGAAUAAUAAUGAACAAAAUGAUUAAAAAUAAAAAAGUCAGGUCAAGGUGUAGCAAAUGAAAUGGAAAGAAAUGGGCUACAUUUUUUAAUAAUAAAAAACACGGAAUAUUAUAUGAAAUAAAAUAUAAAGAAGGAUUUAGAAGUAAAAAGAAAAAAGAGUGUUCUUUUUAAAUUGGCAAUAGAGCACGCACACACCGCCCGUCACCCUUUUCAAAAUAUAUAAAACUUAAAUAAAUAUAUAAACUUACAAGAAAAGGUAAGU